rnacentral:tRNA from 1 species
GCUGGGGAUAGCUGAGUUGGUAAAGUGCUUGCCUCACAUGCACAAGGCCCUGGGUCCAAUCCCCAGCACAACA